rnacentral:snoRNA from 1 species
AAAUCAUGGUGUGGGCAUUGAGCUUGGUAGCCCUUGAAUCUCUCCCAGGCUUCACUGAAGCCUUCCAAGUUCUUCUGUUGAAAGCUGGAAAUCUUAUUUCUCAGCUU